AAGGCUGAGAAGAAGCUAAUCCAGCCAGCCCCGGAGGAAGUGUAGGCAGGAGACCAAAAUGGUGAGAUGGAUAAGGGUUUUUUGUUUGUUUGUUUUUAAUCAGAUCAUAGAUGGCACUAGUCUGGCUGACAUGGCAAUGUUCCAGCAUGGUAAUUGGAGAUAGGGGGUUGUUACCUGAUCUUUACCUGGAUUCCUUCAUCUUACCAAGUACCUUCAGGUUGGAGGAGGAAGCAGGACUCCAGAAAAGAUGUGACUUGUUGAAUAGCACUUCAGAAGAAACUGAGUACAGAGAUAGUCACUUGCCAAAGAUCACACCUUAAGACCAGAUGAAUACAGAUUGAAGUUUCUUUGCUGAUGGCUCCACCAAACAACAGUGUAUGGGAUUUUCAGGAAAAACUAGCACCUCUAGUAUGAAGGCUUGCCAUAUCCUUUUCAAGGCUGCUCAUUCACCUUUUGUGUCUCCCUUUUGCCCGACUCUCAACUUUAAGUACAAGAAGCUGUAGCAUGUGCAGUGGUCAAAUUCACAUAAAUGUGGAGUACUCAGAGCUGGAAGACACUAAGAUCAUCCACUACAUCCAUUGCAAAUCAUCUUGACUUGUUUUGCCAUUAGACUUUGAUGAGACUGGAAGAAAGAGUGAAGUUCAUGACUUUGUGAAUGGAAGCUCCUUGAAGUUAAGACAAGUUUCAUCCUUGUCUUUUUACCUUGCAGGCCUAGCAAAGUGCUUUUUUCAUAAGUUUUAUUUUAAUUGAAAAUGGGGCCAUUACCAUCUUCAUGAAUUAUAUCCAUUAGAGAAUGUUUCUCAUUUCAUAUAAUAACUAAGUUCUUUUGAACAUUCAGCUAGUAAGUCCAGGGUCAAUCAUUCAAAGACAAGAAAUAAAAAUUUCAAAGGUCAAAGAACA
rnacentral:lncRNA from 1 species